AUUAAACGCUGGCGGCAUGCCUUACACAUGCAAGUCGAACGGCAGCGCGGGGCAACCUGGCGGCGAGUGGCGAACGGGUGAGUAACGCAUCGGAACGUGCCCUGGAAUGGGGGAGUAACGUAGCGAAAGUUACGCUAAUACCGCAUAUACUGUGAGCAGGAAAGCAGGGGAUCGCAAGACCUUGCGUUCUGGGAGCGGCCGAUGUCGGAUUAGCUAGUUGGUGGGGUAAAGGCCUACCAAGGCGACGAUCCGUAGCGGGUCGUGAGAGGAUGAUCCGCCACACUGGGACGUGA
rnacentral:rRNA from 1 species